AUCAAGUGCUGAAGGGUGUUCAAUUGCCGCCAGAUCUCGUAGGCUCCGCUGCAGGUUUCGCCGGGUAAUGGGCGGAUUAUCUGAAUUUAGGUGGAAACAAUUCAUGAAGUGAACUGGGACACGCACCUCUCAAACAGCUUGCGAAGCUAUGUGGGGGAGUUCAAGAACUUUUGAGGGAUUCUUCCAAGAACACUCCAGUCGGACAAAUGCCUCACUCGUAUCUGUAUCGGAAUUGACAUUAACUCCCCGAUAGGCUUCGUACGUAGCAACCGCCCGUGUUGAAAACUGUCACAAGCGACGAAAUUAUGUUGACGUCAAUUCAGUUAAAAUAUGAUAUAUUCCCACCUCUUCAACAUUUGUUAAGAAGGCCAUUUCUGAUUUCAAAUGAUCCAACUGGAUGGUAGGAUCUGUUGAUGUGAUGGGACCAGCUACUGUUAUCUUGUAACGAAUUAAUUCAUUAUUUCUUCCCUUCUCAAUGCCCAAGACUGAUGUUCUUUCCCCAUCUUCGGCAUCUGCCAAGCAGAAGACUGGUAAAGCAGAUUGGAGAGAGGGAUCAAAAAUGAAGUUAGAUAGUAUCCCUCUAUGAAAAACAAAUAAAUAACAAUAAAAAUAAAAA